GAUGAAGAACGUAGCGAAAUGCGAUAAGUAAUGUGAAUUGCAGAAUUCAGUGAAUCAUCGAAUCUUUGAACGCACAUUGCGCCCGCCAGUAUUCUGGCGGGCAUGCCUGUUCGAGCGUCAUUUCAACCAUCAAGCCCCAGGCUUGUGUUGGGGACCUGCAGCUGCCGCAGGCCCUGAAAACCAGUGGCGGGCUCGCUGUCACACCGGGCGUAGUAGAUUUUAUCUCGCUCAGGGCGUGCUGCGGGUUCCGGCCGUUAAAAAGCCUUUUUUACCCAAGGUUGACCUCGGAUCAGGUAGGAAGACCCGCUGAACUUAAGCAUAUCAAUAAGCGGAGGA
rnacentral:misc_RNA from 1 species